GACGAACGCUGGCGGCGUGCUUAACACAUGCAAGUCGAACGGAAAGGCCCUGCUUUUGUGGGGUGCUCGAGUGGCGAACGGGUGAGUAACACGUGAGUAACCUGCCCUUGACUUUGGGAUAACUUCAGGAAACUGGGGCUAAUACCGGAUAUGAGCUCCUGCUGCAUGGUGGGGGUUGGAAAGUUUCGGCGGUUGGGGAUGGACUCGCGGCUUAUCAGCUUGUUGGUGGGGUAGUGGCUUACCAAGGCUUGACGGGUAGCCGGCCUGAGAGGGUGACCGGCGACAUUGGGACUGAGAGACGGCCCAGACGCCUACGGGAGGCAGCAGUGGGGAAUAUUGCAGAAUGGGCGGAAGCCUGAUGCAGCAACGCCGCGUGCGGGAUGACGGCCUUCGGGUUGUAAACCGCUUUCGCCUGUGACGAAGCGUGAGUGACGGUAAUGGGUAAAGAAGCACCGGCUAACUACGUG
rnacentral:rRNA from 1 species